rnacentral:sRNA from 1 species
UCAGUAACGGCGAGUGAAGCGGCAACAGCUCAAAUUUGAAAGCUGGCCCCCCCGGGGGUCCGCGUUGUAAUUUGUAGAGGAUGAUUCGGCGAGGGCUCCCGCCUAAGUCCCCUGGAACGGGGCGUCAUAGAGGGUGAGAAUCCCGUAUGCGGUGGGCUGCCUUAGCCAUGUGAAUCUCCUUCGACGAGUCGAGUUGUUUGGGAAUGCAGCUCUAAAUGGGAGGUAAAUUUCUUCUAAAGCUAAAUACCGGCCAGAGACCGAUAGCGCACAAGUAGAGUGAUCGAAAGAUGAAAAGCACUUUGGAAAGAGAGUUAAAAAGUACGUGAAAUUGUUGAAAGGGAAGCGCUUGCAGCCAGACUUGUCCGCAGUUGCUCAGCCGGUCUCCUGACCGGCGCACUCUUCUGCGGCCAGGCCAGCAUCAGUUCGGGCGGUCGGAUAAAGGCCCCGGGAACGUAGCUCCUCUCGGGGAGUGUUAUAGCCCGGGGUGGAAUGCGGCCAGCCUGGACUGAGGAUCUCGCUUCGGCUAGGAUGCUGGCGUAAUGGCUGUAAGCGGCCCGUCUUGAAACACGGACCAAGGAGUCUAACAUCUAUGCGAGUGUUUGGGUGUCAAACCCAUGCGCGUAAUGAAAGUGAACGGAGGUGGGAACCCUCGCGGGUGCACCAUCGACCGAUCCUGAUGUCUUCGGAUGGAUUUGAGUAAGAGCAUAGCUGUUGGGACCCGAAAGAUGGUGAACUAUGCCUGAAUAGGGUGAAGCCAGAGGAAACUCUGGUGGAGGCUCGCAGCGGUUCUGACGUGCAAAUCGAUCGUCAAAUUUGGGUAUAGGGGCGAAAGACUAAUCGAACCAUCGACUACUAGGUGGUUAAGAGGUGGCUGAAAGUGCCCACCUAGUCCCCCCGUCCGAGGACGGGGGGGCGACAUCGCCAAAUUGCGGGGACUCCCUUAGAGCCUCUACUACCGCGGCCGGCCGAAAGGCGCGGUGCAGCACCGGGUUAAUUGCCUAGGGUACGGUAAAAAGGUAGAGGAUUGGGAAAUCCGCAGCCAAGCGCCUAAGUCCCGCGGGAUACGGCGAAGGUUCAGAGACUAGAUGGCGGUGGGUCUCGGCCCGAGGGCCGGGCCUAAGGUAUAGUCCACC